AUUCAACGCCGUCAGGGCAGAUUCUGCAGACUUUUCUUCAUGAUAAGACACAAUAACUCUAGUGCCACUUUCAUCAGCGAGAUGGACUCCCUUAACUUGACCAUAUGCACCAAAUACGGCUUCAAUUGUGUCCAAAGUUAGUCCAACUGCAGGUCCACAAUUGGCCACAUAAAGAUUUGAACUUGGUUCGCUAGUCCCUACAGGACGUUUAAAUCUCGGCAAUCCCAUGUGUUUUACUAUAAUCAAUACCAGCAAAACUUCACCGCCG
rnacentral:misc_RNA from 1 species